rnacentral:rRNA from 1 species
CCUACGGGAGGCAGCAGUGAGGAAUAUUGGUCAAUGGGCGAGAGCCUGAACCAGCCAAGUCGCGUGAAGGAUGAAGGCUCUAUGGUUUGUAAACUUCUUUUAUAUGGGAAUAAAGUGAGGAACGUGUUCCUUUUUGUAUGUACCAUAUGAAUAAGCAUCGGCUAACUCCGUGCCAGCACCCGCGGUAAUACGGAGGAUGCGAGCGUUAUCCGGAUUUAUGGGGUUUAAAGGGUGCGUAGGUGGUUAAUUAAGUCAGCGGGGAAAGUUUGUGGCUCAACCAUAAAAUUGCCGUUGAAACUGGUUGACUUGAGGAUAUUUGAGGUAGGCGGAAUGCGGGGUGUAGCGGUGAAAUGCAUAGAUAUCACGCAGAACUCCGAUUGCGAAGGCAGCUUACUAAACUAUAACUGACACUGAAGCACGAAAGCGUGGGGAUCAAACAGGAUUAGAUACCCGAGUAGUC